GCCGCAGCCUGCUCCUCUCGCAGGAGCCAGAGCAGGCCCCUGUCUGCCCUGUGGCAGGGCUGUGCCUGACUUCUGCUCUGGUUUUGCUUCCCAGCCCCGAGUGCUUCAUCAGAGAGAAGCCACAGGACAGCACUGAGGAACUCGUUGGAACUGCUUCCCAAAGUGUUUAAAGGCUCCCACUAUGAAAGGCACAGGGCUGCUCUGUGAUGGAGGAAAUUAAAACUCCUCAAAGCAGCCUGUUUGUCUGCCUGGGGGGAGAUGGAUCCAGCUGGAAACAUCCGUGCCUGCAGUUUCAUCCUGCUGUCCCCACAGCUGGAGCGCAGGACCGCUCCGGGCUGCAGAGCACAGGAGGAACAUGUGAGGCCUGUGCUCAGUUCCUUCAUCUCUGCCGGGAAUCACCUGUGACCAGCCCAGGAGGUCUCCAUCCCCCCAAAACCCAGGUCUCACUUCUGGCAGCUCUAAGGAGGGGAAGCAAAUCCAGGCUGGCAAACAAGACUACGUCACACCUCCCUCUGCAAAGAGGUUUUUAGAGCUGGCUUAAAUGGAUUUUGGGAAAACGUCUUUGGGAUUGGAGCUACAAAUGGCUUUUUGAUCAAAACAAAAUCGUUCAUUUUAAAAACUGAAACUGUUUCAUUAAACAUGUUUGGGCUUU